rnacentral:lncRNA from 1 species
GUGGUAGCCAGGUGAGCUGCUCUUCGCGCCCCUCCUGGGGCUUUUUGCCUCUGUGGUCAGCUUCAGGGAGGCUGGACACCUUGCCUGCCUUCUCGGUGUUGACAAUGGCCUGUGUUUGUGCUUCUGCUCUGGAGCCACACUCUUGAACAGCUGGAUUUCACCUGGGAGAAACCAAUACAGACCAACAAAACAGAUUUAGAAUCCAUGUACUGAAGUUCUUGGUGUCAAAGGAGAAAUAAACAGAACUCAUCCCUCACAGUAGCAGAAAUCCCG